GAUGAAGAACGUAGCGAAAUGCGAUACUUGGUGUGAAUUGCAGAAUCCCGUGAACCAUCGAGUCUUUGAACGCAAGUUGCGCCUCAAGCCAUUAGGUUGAGGGCACGUCUGCCUGGGCCUCACAUAUCGUUGCCUGAUGCCAGUUUCCUCGUGAUGGGUGACUGUGCAGGGCGAAUGAUGGCUUCCCGUGAGCAUUGUUGCCUCAUGGUUGGUUGAAAAUUGAGUCCUUGGUAGGGAGCGCCGUGAUAGAUGGUGGUUGAGUGACGAACGAGACCCAAUCAUGUGAGACCCCUACCGAAUUUGGCCUUCAUGACCCACAUGCGUCUUUGGAACGCUCAUGACGAGACCUCAGGUCAGGCGGGGCUACCCGCUGAGUUUAAGCAUAUCAAUAAGCGGAGGA
rnacentral:misc_RNA from 1 species